AACGAACGCUGGCGGCAGGCUUAACACAUGCAAGUCGAACGCCCCGCAAGGGGAGUGGCAGACGGGUUAGUAACGCGUGGGAACAUACCCUUUUCUACGGAAUAGCUCUGGGAAACUGGAAUUAAUACCGUAUACGCCCUACGGGGGAAAGAUUUAUCGGGGAAGGAUUGGCGCGCGUUGGAUUAGCUAGUUGGUGGGGUAAAGGCCUACCAAGGCGACGAUCCAUAGCUGGGCUGAGAGGAUGACCAGCCACAUUGGGACUGAGACACGGCCCAAGCACCGACGGGGGGCAGCAGUGGGGAAUAUUGAACAAUGGGCGCAAGCCUGAUCCAGCCGUGCCGCGUGGGUGAUGAAGUCCUUAGGGUUGUAAAGCUCUUUCACCGGAGAAGAUAAUGACGGUAUCCGGAGAAGAAGCCCCGGCUAACUUCGUGCCAGCCGCCGCCGUAACAC
rnacentral:rRNA from 1 species